rnacentral:lncRNA from 1 species
AUGGAGUUGAGCCAGAGUUACAACAGCUCUGCUUUGGACUAUUCAGAAGAUACCUUUGAGUCCUUCAGUGAGGAGGAGGAGAUCAAACCAUCUGGCUCCUGCUGUCCCACAGAGGAUUUGGAGGGCUCAGAUGUGUUGGAAAGCACAUCAUGGUUGGCAGGCCAAAGUCAUGCAGAGGAGCAAUCUGAAGGAGUGGAUUCUGCAGCUCUGGAAAGAGUUGCCAUAGGAAAAUGGAUUGAUGCCAUGGGAAGAUGGAGAGAUCUGAAAAAUAAAGAAGCUGAGGUUAAACAGGACAACUCUGUCAGGAAAACUCAUGGUGCUUUCUCUUUCAGCUCCAGUACCAGUACAGGUAUUAGGAGUGUGGAGUUUUUCCCUCCAAAAUAAACGUGACUUUGGAAUUUAUUGUGUGAGAUGUUUUUCCCCUGUGUGCUGGUUUAAAAGUAAACUGGCAGGAGAAAUGAACCCAGCUCAAGAGAGAUUAUAAGUCAGAG